AGGACAUCUCCAGGGAAACCGGGGCCUCUCUCCCUCCCUGUGGGGGACAUUCACAGUACUCUACUGUAUGUGUAUGCUGUGGUUCUGUUGUGAACCCCGUAUGUCAGCUGUGCUCAUGCUUCUGUAUACGUUCCUCGCUCUCACCCUUCACCUCCCCCCCAGUCUCACCCCACCCAGCUUGCUCUCCAAGCGUGGGUUGAGGAUCUCCAGAGGAGAGGCGAGGAGGAGCGGAAAGGAGGAGAGGACUGCAGGCGGCAGAAUUCCUGGGAUUCUAGGCGUA